UACGAAGGGGGCUAGCGUUGUCCGGAUUUACUGGGCGUAAAGAGCGCGCAGGCGGUCGUUCAAGUCGCGUGUGAAAGCCCCCGGCUCAACUGGGGAGGGUCACGCGAUACUGAUCGACUCGAAGGCAGGAGAGGGAAGUGGAAUUCCCGGUGUAGUGGUGAAAUGCGUAGAUAUCGGGAGGAACACCAGUGGCGAAGGCGACUUCCUGGCCUGUUCUUGACGCUGAGGCGCGAAAGCUAGGGGGGCAAACGGG
rnacentral:rRNA from 1 species